AGAGUUUAUAAUUUCAAAAAUACAUCAAAUAUAUAUAAAUAAAGUUGUAAUUUUUUAAAAAAUUACUCGAUUGCAUUGUUAAAUAUACCGUUAAUAUUUUUUUGAACAGGGUCUAUAAAUAAUUCGAGACGGCCCUGGGCGGUGCUGUAGCUUCUUUGGAGGUGGUGUAUGUUUCACAGUGGUUUUUUGGAUCUCGACGAUAUUGUGGAGGUGUGCUUACUUUUUCGUUCAAUCCAUGUGAGCUCCAGGGGCUUGUUGCCACAGAGGCAAGCCGUGGACCGUUGUAUGCAGGCAGUGAUGAUACUUGUCCUUGCUCCAGCUCAUUAGGGUUUGUUCAGUUCGUCGUAAGAGGGCGACUACCUUCUUCCUCGGAGGUUCGACUCUUGGUUUAAUUAUUCGGUGCUUUCCCUGUCGACACCGGUUGAUUGCGUGACGAGUCACAUGCAUCCAUGUGACUCCGAUUAUUUGGUUCUUGAAGUCAAGGAAAGGCGUUGUAACUGUGGUCUCGGUCGAGGUGGUGUCACUUUUGGGUAUGUUAUCAUCCUAAUGCCCGUGGUAAAUCAUUUGGUUUGCGAUUGGUAGUGUUCUUAGGAUGCUUUGUGCAGGUUCUUUAGAGUCUUUUGUCAGUGUUUGGUGUCGAGUUCAUGCCCGUCUUUGGCGAUGAAGGUGCGGCUGUACAGGCAGGCUUUCAAAUACUCUUGGUGUGUGUUUUUUGCCCUCUCUUUCGUUCAUUUUCAGUGGAGUUUCAAUGACGGUGAUGAUUACGAGCUUAGACAAGUUCAUAUAGGGAGCUAGUUACUCUAUAAGAUACUUUAGAAGUCCUAACAUCCGAGAUAGCGAGGUGAAUUGCACUUUUUUGAGAAAUUCAUAUAAAGGUUGAGAACGGCUUUCGAUUCUCAUUGAGAUUGGAUCUGAACUAAUGGAACGAGUUGGAAAGAUUGGUCGAACGAAACUAGUUAGAAAACUGUGAGUUUUGGUUAUUUUGUACAAGUCGGUUUGUAAUCGGAUCCAAAUUCUUGGUUUUACGGGUUGACUUAAUGUAAUACUAUAUCUUUAAAAACCGGAUAUACACAAUAUAUAUUAGAAGUGGGUACGAAUUGAAUAUCUAUAUUUUUAGAGAUAUAUGUGAUCCGAUAUAUUUUGUCGAAUAAUCAGUUAACAUAUCAAUUUGAUAGGUACUACCUGGAUGUUUGUUAUCCAGAUAUUCAAAAAAUCUUAUUUUUAAUCAGAUAUAUGAUUCGAUCUGUACAAAUAAAACAAUAACAGAUAAAUAUAUAAAAAUUCAAAAUAAUAUAAAAUAAUAUUAUUUCUUACAAACAAAUAUUUACUUUUUAAACUGUAAUAACUAAAUAACCUAGUUAACAAAUAAAGAUUAUAAAAUUACAAAUAUAAUAAUAUAUAUAUAUAUUGUGCACAUAUGAUUUAUAAAUUUUUUUGUGCACAUAUGAUUUUCUGUGCAAAUAUUAAUAUUAUUAGGAACGAGUAUCCAACCCUUUAUGUACAUAUAUUUAGAGAAUUAUAUAUAUAUAUUAAAUAACGAAUCGGAUAUUCGUUAAUGAUUUGGUUUGUUUAUUAUAAAUAUUGCAUAUUAUUACUUGAUUUAUUUCAUAGAGUUACAAAUAUUUGAAUUUUUCAGUUCGAGUUGAAACAAACUAUGAGUUAAAAUCAAAAUUUUAUGAGUUAGCAUCUUGGGUUAGCUGUAGGUAUAUAUAUAAUUUUCUAAAUAUAUGUACAUAAAAUCAAAAUCAAUAUUCAUACUCGUUCAUGAUUUGAUUUGUUUAUUAUAAAUAUUGCAUAUUAUUACUUGAUUUAUUUCAUAGAGUUACAAAUAUUUAAAAUUUUUAGUUCGAAUUGAAACGGACGAUGAGUUGAAUCAAAAUUUUACGAGUUAGCAUUUUGGGUUAGCUAGUAGGAGUUUAAAAAUUUACAUAUUCAAAUUCCGUUGGUAGAAAUAAAAUGGUAUAUAUUUCACCUAUAUAUAUAUAUAUAUUUUAUUUUUUUUGGAACUUCCUAGUUUUUUUUUUGUCAUCUAGUAGAUUAUAUUAUAACAUGAACUGUAAGUACAAUCCGCCGGCAAAGACAUCAGUCUUUCCAGAGCCAAGAGCCGACAAGGAUCUAAAUCCAUUCGGAGCCAUAAGUCGGAUAGGAACAUACUCCUUCCGAAACCCAAACAUCACGAGAACUAAUUUGAACUAAAGCCUAAAUACACAGAGAUACAUAAGAGAAUACUCAAACUUUCGACGAGCCUUGAGAAACGUGAACCCGUAACCGAUGAUUGCAACUGCAAGGAAGAACUAAACAAU